UCCUGAUGAACACAGAUGACGAGUCCUACACGGUUUUACCGAUGCGGACAACCUAUUUUAAUACCAUUCAUGCCUUACUGAAC
rnacentral:ncRNA from 18 species